rnacentral:ncRNA from 1 species
CAGAGUAGGUCUGUGUGCGUAAAGUGCGGAGCGAACGGGGAGUUGUCGCUCUGACGAAAAGCGGUGACGCUUGCGGUACACGGAUUGCAUCCCGCUG